GAUGAACGCUGGCGGCGUGCUUAACACAUGCAAGUCGAACGGAAAGGCCCAAGCUUGCUUGGGUACUCGAGUGGCGAACGGGUGAGUAACACGUGGGUGAUCUGCCCUGCACUUCGGGAUAAGCCUGGGAAACUGGGUCUAAUACCGGAUAGGACGAUGGUUUGGAUGCCAUUGUGGAAAGUUUUUUCGGUGUGGGAUGAGCUCGCGGCCUAUCAGCUUGUUGGUGGGGUAAUGGCCUACCAAGGCGUCGGCGGGUAGCCGGCCUGAGAGGGUGUACGGCCACAUUGGGACUGAGAUACGGCCCAGACUCCUACGGGAGGCAGCAGUGGGGAAUAUUGCACAAUGGGCGCAAGCCUGAUGCAGCGACGCCGCGUGGGGGAUGACGGCCUUCGGGUUGUAAACUCCUUUCGCUAGGGACGAAGCGUUUUUGUGACGGUACCUGGAGAAGAAGCACCGGCUAACUACGUG
rnacentral:rRNA from 1 species